rnacentral:rRNA from 1 species
UGCAGUAGAACGCUGAAGACUUUAGCUUGCUAAAGUUGGAAGAGUUGCGAACGGGUGAGUAACGCGUAGGUAACCUGCCUACUAGCGGGGGAUAACUAUUGGAAACGAUAGCUAAUACCGCAUAACAGCAUUUAACUCAUGUUAGAUGCUUGAAAGGAGCAAUUGCUUCACUAGUAGAUGGACCUGCGUUGUAUUAGCUAGUUGGUGAGGUAACGGCUCACCAAGGCGACGAUACAUAGCCGACCUGAGAGGGUGAUCGGCCACACUGGGACUGAGACACGGCCCAGACUCCUACGGGAGGCAGCAGUAGGGAAUCUUCGGCAAUGGGGGCAACCCUGACCGAGCAACGCCGCGUGAGUGAAGAAGGUUUUCGGAUCGUAAAGCUCUGUUGUAAGAGAAGAACGUGUGUGAGAGUG